CCGGCGCACGGGUGAGUAACACGUAUGCAACCUGGCCGUGACAGAUGGAUAACCGGGAGAAAUCCCGCCUAAUACAGCAUGACGCCGGGAAGGGACAUCCCUUUCCGGCCAAAGGGGGCGACUCCGGUCACGGAUGGGCAUGCGGCGCAUUAGGUAAUUGGUGGGGCAACGGCCCACCAAGCCGACGAUGCGUAGGGGUUCUGAGAGGAAGGUCCCCCACACUGGUACUGAGACACGGACCAGACUCCUACGGAAGGCAGCAG
rnacentral:rRNA from 1 species